UAAAGACAAUCAAGAAAUGCUAAUGAGACAUGUUUUGGGACAGGAGAAGAAACUGGAAUACCCUGAGAAAACCCCUGAUGCACAUACACAGGAUGGAGGCAGGAACCAAUCCCUCGUGUCUCGAGGUGUGAGGGGGAAGCUGCAUUCAUUAUCUGACAGUCGGUGAGGUUUCAGCUCGGGUGAACAUGAUCAAUACGCUUCCUGAGCGGAGUCACCUCAGAGCCAUAGCGUUUGAGGACCACAGAAACAACCUUAAGACACGUCAUAAGAAGAGACAGAUGUUCAGGAUUGAAAGAACAUUAUGGGAUGAAAACGAACUUAAAAUGGAGGAAUUUCGGAAGAAAAAUAUGCUUUUGUUUCUGUAUAGAUUAAAUAGAUUCAAGUCAUAUGUUAAUGGACUGGAACUGACUCUAAUCUAAUUGCUGUACAUUUUGAAGAUUUAGCUUACUGUAUUAAUGCUUUAAAAAAAAUCACAUGGGUUGUCAUGAAGUACACGCUAUCUGUUUUAAAAAUGGUCUUGUGUGUCAUGGUUAUGAUACAUUACCCACUGCACAUUUCCUUGUGACAUGUCUCACUAAUGCCUUCUUGUUUUUAGUUUCACCUUGAUAAGUUCAGGUUUCUCUGUAUUUCUUUGUCACUCUGUUGUGUUUUGUUUGUUGCUUUGCUUUCUGUAGCCUUGCUCAUAGUCUAUAUGUGUUGCUAUUUUGGUUUGUAGCCACUACACAUGAUAAAAGUCUACACUUGUAUCCAGAGAAUAUGUCUGAGAUGAAAUUGCCCCCCACAGCUCAUGGUUCAAGCCCCAGCACUGCCAAACUACCACUGUUGGGCCCUUGAGCAGGGCCCCUAACCCUCUCUGCUCCAGGGGUGCUGUAUUGUAUCAUGGCUGACCCUAAGCUCUGAGCUCAACCUCCAAAGUUGGUAUAUGUGAAGAAAGAAUUUUACUGUGCUGUAAUCAAUAUGUUACAAAAUAAUACUGUAGACCUGAAAUAGACCAAAUUUAUGAAUGUCUAUAGAUCCUAUAACUAAACAUCACCAACUCUAAAUAUCUUACAAGCUAAAAAUCAGUCAAUAGUUUGGUUCAUGUUAGACGUUAGACAGUCUAAAGGUUGAAUCUCAAUCAAAGGGACACAUCAAUACUUCAAAAACUGUGUUUCACAAAAAUGAAAAAAAAAAAAAAAAGAUUUUUCUUUUUCAUCUGGUUUUAAAGAAAUCAAUGUAAAUGAUAUGGGUUUAUGUUUUUGUUUUACCAAACAAAUAUGCUUAAUAUAUAAUUAUAAAGAUGAUAUCUUACCAAUUCCAGACUAAAUGAUCUCGAGUCAUGUGACCCAGAAACUUUGUUGAGUGAUCCUAAUGUUUUCAUUUUUGCCAGAAAAAGUAUCUUGGAGCAGACUCCGCUUACUAAAAUGUUAGCAUAAUUUGAUGGCAAGACCGAUCUUGUCCAAAAUGUAGUCAAGUCCCACUGGAAUGUGAGUUUUCUCCAUGCUGGGGAUGAUCUUGUAUUCAAGUCCAGCUCAUGAGGCAUCUGGAGUCAGGCUGAAUUUGCCUGGAUGUGGAGCCAGUGUAGGCCCAGUGAGACUCAUCAGAGUGCACUGCAUGUAGAGUGACAGGCCGUAUUCAGCUUUACAUGGACUUCUACAAGCCUGAUAUGGGUCAUUGGGUACCAGGGGAUCUGAAGCAGUAACUCUCUAUCCUGUGAUAAGCUCAUAGGCUGAUGUAGACUAACUGAAUGGUCAUUAGGGGACAUAAGGAGAAUCCUUAGAAAUCUUAGUUACUAGCAUAAUGUCUUAGUUGUUUGCUCAUGUUUCAAGUGUAAAUUAGGAUAAAUCUAUAAUAUUUCCUAACAGUCAGUGAAGCAGGAGUUACGGAUUUCUUAUUAUUUUAAGAUAUGCAUUAUAGGCUGUUGCUAUCUCUUUAUUGUCCAUAAUGUGUGAAUGGGUUUGGGAGUUAUUGUACUUAGGCCUUGUGCCCCGUGUCCCCUAGGAUAGACACCAGGCACCCUGUGACAAUGUGUAGUACAAGCAAUACAGAAAAUGAUGCAAUAUUUUAUAUUAUUUAUUUAUUUGUUUGUUUAUUUAUUUAUUUAUUUAUUUAUUUAUUUAUUUAUUAUGAGUAUAAUAAAAGAUCAUACAUACGAGCCCCCAAAACCAACAAGGCUUGUUAACUUGAUUUACUAUAAAAAUACUUUAUAAAGAAAAAAUGGUCUGAAGACCUUGAAUGCUUUGUAUGCUCAAAACUUUACCACCUCAUUCCAAGUCAAGUCAAGUCAAGUCACCUUUAUUGUCACAUCACCACAGCACAUGUGCCAUGGUGAGUGAAAUUCUUGGGAGCGAGCUCCAGAAAUUGCAGAACCUUACGCAAAUAUUGAUAAACAACCAACUUGAUGGCAAUCUGAGCAUGUAUUCGAGCGGCUGAAGGGUAAGGACUAUGCUCAAAGCUCAAAUCUGAAAAGUAACUUUCAAAUUUUUAACAUUUUACAGCAAAAUCUCAUAUCUUUUACUGAAAUAUACUGUAUAUCAUAUCAUGCUACAGCUAGGAACACUUCAUGUUUAUCAAGUCAGUUUAUAUUUUAGCAGCUAGCUAUUAGCGUUUGUAUAGAUUGUAUCAUCUAGUCUAGUCUCAUGCUAGCUAUUAUUUGAGGAAUGUUAGGAAUAAGCCUGAUGAUGGUAUGUUUAAUCUAAUUCUUUCUUUCCAAAAUUUUUUCCUGCCUUGGUAAUAAGUAAGACGUAAUAAGUAAGAGGAUGUAGAAGUUCUACUUUAAAGUGAAGAAUCUGAAGCUGAGUGAAGAAUCGGAAGCUGUUCUUCAAAUGUUCUUUUUCUUGAGUAAAGAAAGUAGGUACUUUUCCCCCCACGGUCAAGGAUCCAUAAGAUUCUAAGGAUACAGAAUCUUAACCACUACCUGGCUGCCUGUGUGAUAAAAAGUCAUGGCCAAAUAUCAAAACACAUGAACAACAUCGUAUCUGCAGUAAAUAAUUAAUUUUGACAUAGCUUUAAGAUGGAAUAAACUGUCAUGUCAGUCAUAUAAUAUGGAUUAUGCUUCAGUAUUCGGAGAGCAGUGUGUCCCAGAAUAGUUUAUCUGUGACAAAUGACAUUUCUUUGGGAAGAAGUUGAAAAGGUCAGAUGGUUUUGAUGGGGUUAGAAUCUCCCUUAGAUUCUAACUAAAAGUGCAAGAAGUGGAACAGAUGACAGAGACCUCAGAGGAUCUGGAGUACUUUAGAGGGAUCAGGUCAAAGUGAAGGUCUGGGCAUCAAUCAAUGCGUCACAUACAGUCAGAUACUGUCAGCACAUCACUGACAAGUCUUCUCACUCUCUUUUUUCUUUAGUCUCUGUUGUAUUGUGCUGUCAAAUGACUUGAUGUACAUUAACACAUGCUUUGAUUA